AUUGAACGCUAGCGGGAUGCCUUACACAUGCAAGUCGAGCGGAGUGGCGAACGGGUGAGUAAUGUAUCGGAACGUGCCCAGUAGCGGGGGAUAACUACGCGAAAGCGUAGCUAAUACCGCAUACUAUUGGAGCAGCCGAUAUCGGAUUAGCUAGUUGGUGGGGUAACGGCUAACCAAGGCGACGAGCCGUAGCUGGUCUGAGAGGACGAUCAGCCACACUGGAACUGAGACACGGUCCAGACUCCUACGGGAGGCAGCAGUGGGGAAUAUUGGACAAUGGGGGAAACCCUGAUCCAGCCAUGCCGCGUGUGCGAAGAAGGUCUUCGGGUUGUAAAGCACUUUAAGCAGGGAAGCGGUACCUGCAGAAUAAGCACCGGCUAACUACGUGCCAGCCGCCGCGGUAAUUC
rnacentral:rRNA from 1 species